rnacentral:misc_RNA from 1 species
UCAUUAUUGAAAUAAACCUGAUGAGUUGCUGCUGGUUCUCUAGGGAGCAUGUGCACACUUGUCAUCUUUAUAUCUCCACCUGUGAACCUUUUGUAGACCUGGAUACCUCUCUCUGAAUGCCUGACAGAUUCGGGGUUUGAGGAUUGAUUUUUUCUUUCCUUGCAUUUUCAGGUCUAUGUUUUUUCAUAUACCCCCAUGUAUGUUUAUAGAAUGUAAUAAACAGGCCUUUGUGCCUAUAAAUUUAUACAACUUUCAGCAACGGAUCUCUUGGCUCUCGCAUCGAUGAAGAACGCAGCGAAAUGCGAUAAGUAAUGUGAAUUGCAGAAUUCAGUGAAUCAUCGAAUCUUUGAACGCACCUUGCGCUCCUUGGUAUUCCGAGGAGCAUGCCUGUUUGAGUGUCAUUAAUAUAUCAACCCUCUUCAGCUUUUUUGCAUGACGAGCGUUGGAUGUGGGGGUUUUUUGCUGGACUCUUUCUAUUGAUUGAGGUCAGCUCUCCUAAAAUGCAUUAGCAAAACAAUUUGUUUACCGCUCAUUGGUGUGAUAAUUAUCUACGCUAUUGACAGUAAAGCACAGUUUAGCUUCUAACAGUCCAUUGACUUGGACAACCUUUUUAUCAAUGUGACCUC